rnacentral:rRNA from 1 species
AGUGAACGCUGGCGGUAGGCCUAACACAUGCAAGUCGAACGGCAGCACAGUAAGAGCUUGCUCUUACGGGUGGCGAGUGGCGGACGGGUGAGGAAUACAUCGGAAUCUACUUUUUCGUGGGGGAUAACGUAGGGAAACUUACGCUAAUACCGCAUACGACCUACGGGUGAAAGCAGGGGAUCUUCGGACCUUUCGCGAUUGAAUGAGCCGAUGUCGGAUUAGCUAGUUGGCGGGGUAAAGGCCCACCAAGGCGACGAUCCGUAGCUGGUCUGAGAGGAUGAUCAGCCACACUGGAACUGAGACACGGUCCAGACUCCUACGGGAGGCAGCAGUGGGGAGUAUUGGACAAUGGGCGCAAGCCUGAUCCAGCCAUACCGCGUGGGUGAAGAAGGCCUUCGGGUUGUAAAGCCCUUUUGUUGGGAAAGAAAAGCAGCAGGUUAAUACCCCGCUGUUCUGACGGUACCCAAAGAAUAAGCACCGGCUAACUUCGUG